rnacentral:rRNA from 1 species
GACGAACGCUGGCGGCGUGCUUAACACAUGCAAGUCGAACGGAAAGGCCCUGCUUUUGUGGGGUGCUCGAGUGGCGAACGGGUGAGUAACAAGUGAGUAACCUGCCCUUGACUUUGGGAUAACUUCAGGAAACUGGGGCUAAUACCGGAUAGGAGCUCCUGCUGCAUGGUGGGGGUUGGAAAGUUUCGGCGGUUGGGGAUGGACUCGCGGCUUAUCAGCUUGUUGGUGGGGUAGUGGCUUACCAAGGCUUUGACGGGUAGCCGGCCUGAGAGGGUGACCGGCCACAUUGGGACUGAGAUACGGCCCAGACUGCUACGGGGGGCAGCAGUGGGGAAUAUUGCACAAUGGGCGGGAGCCUGAUGCAGCAACGCCGCGGGCGGGAUGACGGCCUUCGGGUUGUAAACCGCUUUCGCCUGUGACGAAGCGUGAGUGACGGUAAUGGGUAAAGAAGCACCGGCUAACUACGUG